rnacentral:rRNA from 1 species
CAGCCGCCGCGGUAAUACGGAGGGUGCAAGCGUUAAUCGGAAUUACUGGGCGUAAAGCGCACGCAGGCGGUCUGACAAGUCAGAUGUGAAAUCCCCGGGCUUAACCUGGGAACUGCAUUUGAAACUGUCAGGCUGGAGUCUUGUAGAGGGGGGUGGAAUUCCAGGUGUAGCGGUGAAAUGCGUAGAGAUCUGGAGGAAUACCGGUGGCGAAGGCGGCCCCCUGGACAAAGACUGACGCUCAGGUGCGAAAGCGUGGGGAGCAAACAGGAUUAGAUACCCCGGUAGUCCCUGUCUCUUAUAC